UUCAACAACAUAUAAAACUGCACGUACAUCACGACAUAUUUGGUGACGACCCGGUCGAGCUUAUUUAGUGCUGGCCGGGAAGCUUUUCCUUGAUCUUGUCCAUGAAGCCCUUCUUCUCGCCGGUGUUGCCGUACUCCGCACCGUGCACGCCGGUGCCGGUGCCGGCGCCGGUCAUCCCGGCGUGCCCCUGCUGCCCGUACGCGCCGCCGGUGUUCCCCAUCAUCUGCUGCUGCUGCUGGUUGUUGCCCUUGUUGCCGCCGGGGAGCUUCUCCUUGAUCUUCUCCUUGAUUCCCUUCUUCCUCCUCCCUCCCAUCCCGUCGUCCUCAGACGACUGCACAAACGCACACGAGUACAACUCAAAUUAAAUAAAGGAAUUCAGAAGCGAGGCGAUUAAUUAGAUUUAUGAAUGGACGACAGUGAACGUACCGAGCUGGAGCUUGAGCUGCCGGAGCGGUGGAGGAUGCCGCCGGUCUUGUGCUCCUCCUUCACCGGCUGGAACUGCCCGCCGGCGCCGGCGUGAUGCCCUCCCAUUCCCAUCACGCCAUGGCCUCCGCCGGGAGCGGUGGCGCCGCCGCCGUACUGGCCGGCGACCGGGUUGCCGUACACGUCGACGCGGUCGGCGCCGUAGCCGUGCUGCCCCUGGUAGUUCUCCAUCUUCUCAAACACGCGUCUGAUCUCUCACCCAAGUGUUGCUAUUCUAUCAGUGAAAAAUCUUGUGUCUUGUGAUCGAUGCAGGGGAACAGAAGGGUAGCGUACGUGCCAUUUAUACUGAUCUUGGAGGUUGGAGAAGUACAUAAAAAAACCGAAGUGUAGGUCAGGAAGGGUACGGAAGAGGGGGGUACGUGUACGUGCAUGGGGUGAGCCAGGAGGCGGAGCUGGUGCGUAGAAGGGAAUAAAGGCGGAGCAAGGACGUGUGCGUGUAGCGCGCCGGGUCGGUGACGCCAUGCGGCCACCGGCCGCCACGUAUGUGUUUACCUCGGGCUCUAUCUAGAAUUAGAAAACGGCACAUGCUCCCACAGUUCACCUUUUGUAACCCUUAUUUUGGCUUAAAAUAUAUUGUCACCGGUAUGAAAUCAAUAAUUACGGGGAAUAUAAAGUUAUGUCUAUAACUCUUAUAAAUUUCUAUUUGUAAAUUAUAUUUGGAUGUGUACUGAUCCAUGGUUAAAAUCUUCAAAUUUUAACCUUAUCAAAAUCAAAAGAACAUCUUAUAAAGCGUUUAUAUUCUGCCCCUACCUAACCCACCAUGGUAACAAAUCUGUAUUUAAUUAGUUUCUUACAUACGGUACUCCCAAAUCGAUUACAUUACUUCGACUCUCUAGAACAGUGAUCAUAAUAAUAAUUAUUAAAGUAAUGACACCCAUACUAUAGGUGUUUCCAGCCUACUACUACAAGCUUUGAUGGUGAUUAUAAAAAUUAGGACACCACAUUAUGCCGGAAAAAAAUCUAUGCGGCAGUGCCGUACCAAGCCUCUCGUGCGGCACCGCGCGAGCUGGUGACGCGUGUCCAGCUGCCGCCCGCGCAAGCCGCGUCUAUCGCGAUUUCGUUGGAGCCGAGCCGACGCCUAUCGCGCCGAGUCCAAGCCGCAGGCCCGCACCUUGAAGUCGAAUCGUCGCUCUCAUCUGCUAUGGCAACGGCCGGCGGCGGCUGCUGCUGUUGCUUCUGAAACGGUGGCGGCGCACUAUAAGGGCCCUGCUGCUCCUCGGAGUUGAGUCCCCCCUACAGCGGGCGACGGCGCGUUGGCGCAAGGCCGCGAGGCGGCAGCCGACAGGCAGGCGGACAACGGAGCGUCAGAGCGGCCGCGCGAGCCGCGAGCAGCAGGCCGGUGGCAGCGUGGCGCCGCGGGAGCACGUGAGCCGGAGCAGCAGUGCAGCAGGAGUCCGGCGGCGGCGCGGGAGCUCGCUGCGCGUGAGCAGGAGCAGCCGAGCAGCAGCAGCGCCGCAGGAGUGAGCAGGUCUACAGGGAGCAGUAGCAGCUGCAGGCCAGCAAGAAGGUAUGUUUUUUGAAAAUAUGCAAUUCGAUUCUAAUUGCUUGAUUGAAAAUUUGGAAUGAUUAAAUGCAUUAGCGUAGUUUUCUCUCAUGUACGGAUUGGUGUUCAUGAAGGAUGUAAAAUUAGUGUUUCUUAAUAAUCUAGCACAACUGGAAAUUGUAGAAGUUUUCUGUCGACAUAAUCAUAUUACUCACUAUCUGAACCUUCUGCAAAUAUUUUGUCCACUUGGGAGAUGGAGCUAUUUCUGAAUAUUUGUUGUUUCACUAAAGCUCUUCAAAAUUGCAGUGCUAAUUUGCUGAAUAUUACUGCGAACAGUGACUUACUACACAUCUGUUAUCUCUCCAGGAAAAGAGAAAUGGAAGGUAGCAGCGCCAAAGGAGGAGCUGGAGACUCUGAUAGUCUGUCCAGUGUCCACUGCAGAUAAGGAACUUGAAGUGCAUAUGGCCAAUAUAGCUAAAUUAGCUUAUAGCCUUGUACUACUCCUGAAGGGCAUUGUUUUGGUUGUCUUUUUCUUCUGAAAUCUGGACCAAAUGGUCUUGCAUGCUGUGAAUAUAUGGUGUUGUAAACAGUUGUCAAUGAGCACAUUGUAAUUUCUACUUAUCAGAUUGGAUACAGUGAUCUCAUAUGAAUACAUAUUUCCAGAUUUCAUCAAGAUUUGCAUCCAUCUGGUUAUAAAUCUCCAAAACAUAGGAAAUCUCCACAAAAUAAAGCCCAACAUCUUAUUAUAAACCUCCAAAACAGUGGAAUGGCAAACUACAGUCUUGUUUUUUUAGACAAAAGACGGUUACCCCUUCCAGCUUUUACUUGAAAGCAUAAGAGUUCAUACAGUACUUAAAGAAACAAAAGGGAAAAGGAAAAUACAAACUGCUGGGGUUUCCAGAAUUCCAGCUUUCAAACCAAUCACAAGGAGCACCAAGGCUCUCAGCAGGCUGCUAAAAGGGUAUCCAGAUGCAGAGACAAAGAAGGUCUAGGCUGCUGGCACAGCAAAACUACAGUCUCAUGUCAAUAAAUAAUUGCCAAAGCACGACUACACCUUACAUGUUCCAUAAUUUCCUAUUUAAUCAAAAUGUAACUUCCGAGCAGCCAUGGCAUCUUGAUCUAGUCCAAACAAAAGACUUGUAUAUUCUCCAUGGAUCGGAGGAGCAACCAUAGUUGAAAAAUCUUCAUGCAUAUUAUCAUCAAUGUUUGCAUCAAAAGAGCCCUAAUAAAAAAAUGAAAUUAUUCAGGCCAAGUGCAGCUAAAUGAAUUAUUGGAAGGAAAGCCAGAUCAUUAAUCUUACAAUCAAUUCAUCUGGAUCUUGAAUCAUUUCUCCAUUGUCUGUUGAUUUCUUUGGAUCUUCUCCUUUAGAUUACAAAUAUAAAAGGGAAUCAAUAUUACUAGCUAACAAGAGAGAUGUAAAAAAAUAUUUUUAAGUGAGAAGCACUACCUUUUUUCUUAGCAGCAUUUCCUUUCUUCCCUUUCUUCUUUAGAAGUACAGUUUUUGAUCUUUUAUUCUUUGGACCUUUUAUGACCUGAGGAACUCUGAUUGAUACUUUACCUUUUAAUAUGUCUCCAACACAUCCAUUAGAACUUUCAGAAACCUCAUAAGUUUUGGUGUGUAUUUUGCUCAGUGAAUUAUCUGCUUCUAGGUCCAACUUGUCUAUAGCUUUUUCCAUAUCAUCAAGAAGUUCUUUUUGAUACUGUGCAACAGAUGUCGCCUUCCGAGAGAUGCGCGCUGCAUGCGUUCUCAAAGUUUCAUUGUCACUUAUUUGUUUCUUCUCAAAAUAAAAACCUCUUUUUGCAUAUUUUGUCCAUCUAUUUAGUACAUACUGAGUUGGCAAGAUGAAAACCUCAUUGAUAUUAAAGAUUCGGAAAGAUGAAAACCUCAUUGAUAUUAAAGACUCGGAGAGCAUGCUUGCACAAUAUACCUGUCAAACAUGUAGAAAUACUUUAAGCAAAAUAUAUUGUGAACUAUAGUGCAAUUGAAAAAUGCUUGUACAUACCAAUGCAUUCAUACAUGUGACAAGAACAUGUUAUUGUUUUGUUCCUGGAAUUCCAUAGGCAUCACCUUAUAAGUCAUGAUUGACCCUUCAGAUUUCAGGAAUUUACAUGAGAAAGAAAACUGCUCUUUAAAGUGUUCCUCAAAUUCUGAAUAAAGCCUUCUUGUAUACAACUCAGCUGCAGUCUUCAGCAUUGGUAAAUCUCGAAUAUAAGUGACAGGGGUAGAGUGUCGUGAUUUGUAGUCUGCAUCCAACUCAUUAUCACGAAGACUCAUUGCACACUUGUCGCAUUCUUCUAGGAGUUUAGAUAGGGAAAGCUUUCUACGAAACCUUUUCUUGAAAACAUUGUUCAUACCUUCACUCCUUUGAGUAGAGGUCAUAUCAGCAGUAAAAGAAUCACGAAAGACAGCAGCCCAAUGAACCCGCAACUUAUAUAGGUUCUACAACCAUGAGUUCUCCUCAAGCUUAUAACUACUCAACAACUCAUUCCAUUUCUUGUCGAAGUAUGCCUCAGACCUUUCUUCGUAAACACAACUCUUAAAAUCAGCAAGAAAUUGAGGAUGGUCAGCAAUUACAUGACUAAGAUGUUUAGCAGCAUUCUGAUAAAUGUGCCAUAUACAAAGACGGUGCCUUGUGUUUCGAAAUACUAUCCUUACUGCUGCUGCCAUGGCAGCACAUUGAUCUGUGAAAAUUGUGCUAGGAUGCUUGCCUGACAUUGCUGUUAGAAAUGUGUUGAAAAGCCAAACAAAUGAUUCAAUCAUUUCACUAUACAACAGUGCAGCCCCAAAAAUAAUUGUCUGCUUAUGAUGGUUGGUUCCAAGGAGGGGAGCAAAAGGCAUUUCAAACUUUUUAGUCUGAAAUGUGGUGUCAAAUGACAUAGCAUCACCAAAGCAUGCAUAAUCCAUGAUAGCUUGACCAUCUGCCCAAAAGAAAUUAGCUAUCCGACCAUCCUCCUGAUCUACUUGUAUGGCAUAAAAAAAGUAGGAUCCUCUAACUGCUUGUUUUUCAAAUACUCCAGUAGCGUUUGUGCAUCAUUGGAUGGCAAGUACUUCUUCUGCUCACGGCCAAUCAAAUUAUUGCAAUCCAUCCGCGAGAAUGGAACAUUCUCAGCUCCUCCAUACCAUUGCUUGAAAAACUCAUACACUUGGGCUGGUUGUAUUCCAGCUUCUCGUAUUUGACUGAUUAGAAGUUUAUCCGCCUCUAUCACGUUGGGACCUCAACAUGUGUUUCUUAUUUGGACUAGCAAGAUAGUGAUUGUGCUCGAGGACAACCUUUUGCACUGUCCAAAUUCCCUCACGACUUAUACUGAAUUGAACACGAGCAUUGCAACACGUCCUUGUAGUAGCAUUUUCUUUUGAAGUGACAUGUGAUGAGUGCUUUCCUCGUUCUCCUUGGUUACUGCAAACUAUAUGCUUCUGGUAUAUAGUCUUGACUGGUCUCAAUCUUGUGGUGCUCUUUCUAAUACUAAAACCAAUUUUCCUGGCAUAUGAGUUGUACAUAUCAUACGCAUCAUUUUCUGAUUUGAAAGACAUUCCAACUUGAGGUACUAUUACAGAUUGACCAUUCAUGUUAUCCACCAACAGUAUAAUAAGAAAAUUUUGAACGAAUUACAUAUACCGAUAAUAUAUCAGAUUGUUGUGAACAAGAAAGUUUGUUCGGAGCUAUUUACCUCUGUUGGAGCUAUUGUGGUUGCUGAACCUAUCGAAGCAUCUUCCAUCGGCUCUGCUGAACCCAUUGAAGCAUCUUCCAUUGGCUCGAUGGUAGGAAUUGAGGAUAAAGGAAGGGCAAUUGCAUCAGCAGAACACGGCUCCAACAUUGAGAUUUCGACGAUGCCAUCUGACUCCGGUGUUAGGGUUGAUCGUAGCACGGGAUGCGACGAGGUCCUGCCGCCUAUGGCCGGCUGCACGGCAGGGUCGUCCAUGCUCUGAGCGGAAUCGUCAAGCAGAGACGGCAAACAUGGCUCGAUCGUCGGUGCAGCAGGCAAGGAAACACACUAGAUCGAUCAAUUGUUAUGAACAAGAAAGAAGGAAGAUCAUAGGUCGCUCUGAUGAAACAAGCGGUGGGCGCACGAAGCGGCAGAUGAGAGCGACGAUUCGACUUCAAGGUGCGGGCUUGCGGCUUGGACUCGUCGCGAUAGGCAUCGGCUCGGCUCCAACGAAAUCGCAAUAGACGCGGCUCGCGCGGGCGAUAGCUGGACACGCAUCGCUAGUUCGCGCGGUGCCGCACGAGAGGCUUGGUGCGGCACUGCCGGAUAGAAUUUUUUUCCCAUUAUGCCCGCCUCCCUCCUCUUCAUUGCUCUUUGUGCCCUCUCUCUACCCCCCCCACCGGAUUUUACGUUGCUAUCGCUUUCCCUCCCUAAUUCAAUAGAGGAAAAGAUAGAGAGAGAGAGAGAGUAGAGUAGAGAGAAGUUGGCUUGGCAAGAAUUGAGAGCAUAGCGGCUAAGUGUAAUUUUUUCGCCACUGUGAACUUGAAGGGGUUAAAUACAAACGAGUUUACUACUGCGGAGACGUGCAUGUGGGUCCUUGAAACCGAUUGCACAGAAGUGAUUAAACUCAUGCCCCUUGGGCAAAAUAAAUCGAGAUGGUGUGCCUUGUUGGUGAAAGCGAAGAGUUUUGUUGGUUUACUUCCUAAGAUCUGUCUAAAUCAUGUUGGAAGAUGGGAUAAUAGAGUGCCUCAUGAACUAGCUCGGUUAGCCAGAAGGACUAGACAUAAUGCGGUGUGAAGACUUGAUGCUCCAACUUGUAUUCAUGAUCUUGUCCCACGGGAUUGUAAUCACUCUAUUUAGCCAGUAAAAUUCACACCCUCCCUGAAAAAAAAUAGAGCAAUGGGGCUAAGAGUAAUUUUUUUCGCCAUUGUGAGCUUUGGAGGGGUUAAAUGCAAACGAGUUUACUACUGUGAAGACGUGCACGUGGUCCUUAGAUCUAUCAAAGACGAGUUAGACUACAUGUGACACAUUAAAUCAGGAUCAUGGAUAUAUUUAGAACCUAACUGUGCGAUUUAUAAGUUCGAUUGAUCUAAAUAACAUCUUGAUUAAAAUAUACGGAUCAACCAUGAUAUGGUAGAAAUGGUCUUGUAAAACGAGAUAUGACUACGGUUGGACACGUACGCUGCUGCGUUCGCAAGCAGCUAUUGUAUCAUGCGUGCCCUUAUAUUAGCUAUAUGCACCCUUCCAUUCUCUCCACCUCCCUUUCUCCGUAAAACAUAACAAAUAUAAAGAUCAUAAAAAUAUCAUGCAAUAUGUACAUACGAACUACAUACUACUUAAAACUGAAUAAUACCAAAUACAACAAGCAGUUAUUAUAUCAUGCGUGCUCUUGUCUUAGCUACAUGCAUCCUUCCAUUCUCUUUACCUCUCUCCGUAAAAAUCGAAACAAAUAGUAAUCACUAAAACAUAACAAAUAUAAAGCUCAUAAAAAUACCAUGCAAUAUUUACAUAAAAAGUAGAUACUACUUAAAACCGAAUAAUACCAAAUACAACCCUUAAAAAAAUAGUGAAACAAUAAGAAUACAUUCAAUAAUUAUAAUCAAUGUGUGAAAAAUAUGAAAACUUCUAUCCAGAAUGUUAAGAAAUCUUAGAGCGAUGUUCUGGUGCUAUUAGUACAAUGGUCUGGUGUUAUUUACUUGUCGACGGGGGAUAGCCGUAGACCGGAUAAAAAAGUAUUGAGAUACGUUGAUACGAGGAUCUACACGAUACGACAUCAAAACCGAGAAAAAUAGAUAUUAUAUUGGUUCAGAUCCCACGUAAGGUAAUAGCACUAAUCCAGUUUAUAUGAGAGUACAAAGAGAACAUAUAAAGCCGCGAUACCGACGAGAUCCUUAUCGAGAGGGAUCGACGAGAUCUCCCGACAGAUUUAGCUUCGUGUAAACUAUGGUAGAUGUGUUGGCACUAUGAUUCUAUGAUGGUUAGCAUCACUCAUAUUUCAUCGCAAAAUCAUCGGAAAAGCAAAAAGAGAGGGAAAAAGGUUUAGUUACUACAUAAAUAACGAAAUAGCGAUUAUACCCUUUCGUAUUUUCUUUUUUCAAUAAUACCCUCCAUAUUUCUACUACUUUCCUUUUCCAAUAAUACCCAUGUUAUUGCUAAUUGGGUUAGUAUAAGAGAUAGUACAAAUGAUCUAAUCAGACGAAAUCGACAGUUCAUUUUGCUUAAUUUCUACUACCAGAAAAGAGUAGUAGAGAGCACAGUGAUAGGCUCCAAAUUAAUCUUAUAAUCAAGAAACACUUACACAUGGGAGUUCCAAUCAAAAAGGAUGACUCGAAGCAUGGCGUACCGUAGAAUAUUACGAAAUUCACAUGAAAAUUCCAAAACAAAGUCACACACUUCACUAAAAACCUGUGUACACACACACCAUACAAAGCUUGCAAUGGCAUCACAAGCUAUAGGUACAACCCAACACGUGCGAACGCCCAAACAGUAGUACUAUUCUCUUCGAGGACGCUAUACACUGCAGUGCACGUCAUUUAUUCCGCAGAUUAAAACGAUAGAUACUACUACACACAUGACGACGUGUUGCCCCGGCUGUCAAUUAUAUAAGCUUAUUAAUUUAGUGCUGGCCGGGCAGCUUCUCCUUGAUCUUGUCCAUGAAUCCCUUCUUCUCGCCGGCGUUGCCGUACUCCGCACCGUGCACGCCGGUGCCGGCGCCGGUCAUCCCGGCGUGGCCCUGCUGCCCGUACGCGCCGCCAGUGUUCCCCAUCAUCUGCUGCUGCUGGUGGUUGUUGCCCUUGUUGCCGCCGGGCAGCUUCUCCUUGAUCUUCUCCUUGAUUCCCUUCUUCCUCCUCCCUCCCAUCCCGUCGUCCUCAGACGACUGCACAAACGCACACGAGUACAACUCAAAUUAAAUAAAGGAAUUCAGAAGCGAGGCGAUUAAUUAGAUUUAUGAAUGGACGACAGUGAACGUACCGAGCUGGAGCUUGAGCUGCCGGAGCGGUGGAGGAUGCCGCCGGUCUUGUGGUCCUCCCUCGCCGGCUGGAACUGGCCGCCGGCGCCGGCGCCGGCAUGACCUCCCAUCCCCAUCGCUCCGUGGCCUCCGCCGGGCGCGGUGGCGCCGCCGCCGUACUGGCCGGCGCCGACCGGGUUGCCGUACACGUCGACGCGGUCGGCGCCGUAGCCGUGCUGCCCCUGGUAGUUGUCCAUCCUCUCAAGCAAAUUAAAAGCUAAUAACUCUCCGCUUAAUUAGCUCUGGCUAGAUCCCUGAACUCGUGUACCCAAGUGUUCCAGCUAGUGUUGUUGCUAUCAGUAAGAUGACUUGUGUCAAAGCCGUCGAUCGAUGCAGCAAAGCAGCUGGCCGGGGUGCCCUGCCAUUUAUACCGCGGCGAGACUGUGGGUUGUGUACGUGUGAUCUCUCUACUGGAGUUAAAAAAAAAUGGAAGCUUAAUUUGGUCAUCAGGAAGGAGGCCGUGGAAGAUGGGGGUACGUGUGACGCAUGGGUGAGCCGGGAGGCGGAGCUGGCAAUAUCGAGGGAAUAAAGGCGGAGGAGGGACGUGUACGAGCUGCCUGCAGUAGCGCGUUGUGUCGGUGGUGCCACGCGGCAACCUGCUGCCACGUACUGUGUUUCCGUUGGGUUCUUCUGGACACUUUGUUAUCUGUGUGGGGGAGAUGACCGCGCGUGCUGCAUGCAUACCAUCAUAUCCAUGCAGAUGGAUAGAGAUGGAUAAGAAGACAUGCACGUGUUCGAUAUCUGUUGUGGCCGGUGGGGGAACGAGCGAUCGUGAUGAUACGGAGUUCACGGAUGCCCGGUGGACUAUCGCCGCAUCGGGGAAGGACGACGACUCGUCGACAAGGAUGUGUUUUGAGGUAUGACUGAGGCCAGGUUUAAAGUUCCCAAAAUUUUUUUCUCAAAACCAUUGCACAAAUCUUUAAUACAUAGAACAUUAAAUACAUACUUAAAUUAAAAAAACUAAUUGCACAGUUAGAAGAGAAAUCGCGAGAAGAAUCUUUUGAGCCUAAUUCGUUCAUGAUUAGCUAUAAGUGCUACAGUAACCCACAUGUACUAAUGACGAAUUAAUUAGGCUAAAAAGAUUCGUCCCGUGGUUUUCAGGCGAUUUUUUAUUCGUGUCCGAAAAUCUCUUCUGACAUCCGAUCAAACAUCCGAUGUGAUAGCUAAAAAAUUUUCAUUUCGCGAACUAAACAGACCAUAAGUUAGAAACGUAUAUCUUCUGGCACAUGGCACGUAAAUCGAUGAGAUAGAUUAGCAUAUAAUUAAUUAUGUAUUAGUUAACAUAUAAAAAUAGAUCAGUAUGAAUUUUUUAAAUAAUUUUCUAUAGAAAAAAUAUUAGAAAAAACAAAACGUUAAGUCUAUUAACAAUCAUAUAUUAUAUUUAUUAUACAAAGUUUAUUAAACUUUAUUUAAACGCUCUUAAGCCGUCAUUUGGCACACUAAUAAAUUAGAGCAAGUCCUAUAAGUUACAAGAAGCAAAAAGGUUAUUGAUAUAAUCAUUGAUUUUCAGUUAAAUAAAUGGUCCUAUAAUUUUAUACUAUUAGAUUAAAUCUAUUUAAAUAGAAACUCAAAGUAACCCAAAGUACCCCAUCCUAUCAGGCACAUCAAUCCCCGUGCGAUGAAGAAUUGAACACACAUACGUACCGGCCUCUGCCUCUCUUUUCCUUCUAAUUUUCUAGGAUAAACUCAAACAAAGAAACAAUCAAAAUUUAAAUUCAAUAAUCCUUUGCGUCGGUCGCUCGGGGGAGGGAGAAAAAUUGGGCGCUCCCUCCCCCCGCGACGGGCUCUGCCUCCUGGGCCCCACCAGUGCCCCUACCCCCUGCCACGUGUCUCCACCACAUACUCCAUUGCAACAAAUCACCCACAUAUUUUGGAAACACUCUAUUAAGGGAAUUCGUUUUAUUUUUUGUUUCACUAAAAAUGUUUCACCUAGUGCACUCAUAAUGUUUCACUAUGUAUGAAUAAAAUGUUGCAGUGAAUUGAAACUUUUUUUUCAACAAAUCACACACAUAUUAUGGAAACCCUCUAUUAAGAAAAUCUGUUUCAUCCUUUGUUGCACCAAAAAUGUUUCACCUAGUGUACUCGUGAUGUUUAAAUAUAUAUAGAUUAAAUGUUGUAGUGAAUUCAAGCAUUUUUUCGCUAUUUGCUAAAACAUUGUUUUUAUAUAAGGUGAAACAACGGUCGAUUUAAACGAUUGAAACAUUUUCGAUCUACUUAGUGAAACAAUUCUGAUAUACUUGGUGAAACAACGUGAAAUAUUUAAAAAUAAUUCAAUAAUAAGCUAAAAAAAUUUUCAUCGGAAUAUAUCCAUGUGCAGUCUUGUUUUAAAGAUUUAAUUGCAACGAAUUUAAUGGUGCAAUCGGAUUAUAAUUUGGUUAAAAUAAUUUAAAAGAAAAAAUAGUUAAAAUAGUUUUGCAUGCAUGCAUGCAUGCGUGCUGACGUCAGCUGACGUGAGCGUCCGAUUUUUCCCACCCAAGAUCGGGCGCCCGACGCGUAGUGCCCUCCAUUUAAAUUAAGUCCCAUAUGUUUUAAGUUGUAUAUUCAAUUAUGAAUAUGCAUGUAUGGACCAUUAUUUUAUUUAUAAUUAGCUCAACAAUUUAAGACAUAAAAUCCUGCAAACGCUCCUAAGCUACACGUGACACUGUAAUAAAUUUGAGAACAAAAUUUGUAUUUUAAAAGCAAUAGCCGAAUUUAAAUAUUUGAGUCCAUAGUCCAGGUUCUACCACCAGCAAAGACCUCGAAACCAUGUUAGGUACUCUAGGAUAGAACCCGACGGAGGCAGAUCUGGACGAUUAGCAAAGUGGAAGCGGAUGCCGGCAACAUCGGCUUCUAGGAGAGUUCCUGAGCCUAAUAGCAUUCAAGAUGAUUAGAUGGCCAAGGACUCCGAGGAAGAGCUGCAGGAAUGGUUCCAUGUCUUCAACAAAAACCAGAAGCCGGCUUCAUCUCCAUUGUCGAGCUCUGCCACGGCCAGAAUCCGGCGGAGGCGAGGCUGCAGGACAUGAUCAACAAGGUGGACACCGACGACAGUGGCAACAUCGAUUUCCAUCAGAGUUUGUGGCCCUAAUGGCGCAUUCGAUGAUUAGAUAAAAGGACAAGGACUCCUCGAUGGAGGCGUUCAGCGUGUUCGACAAAGACCAGAAGACGACUUUAUCUCCGUGCUAUGCUUCAUCACAUCAUAGCCAAUGCAUUGAAAGAGGCUCAGCGAUGAGGAUGUCAGCGAGAUUAUCUGUGAGAUGAAUACCGUAAUUUUGACAAAUUGACCCUUUGAGAAAACUUAUUUUAAGAAUAGACCAUGCCAAAAACUUAUUAUAAAAAUAGGCCGUUGACUCAGAGGUGUAACGUUUUAGCGCCAUACAUAUUAACGCUGAUAUUUCAUCCGAGCUAGCAAAAAUUGGCCAGGUCAGAAGGAGUCAACGCCAUUCAAUUCAGCGCUGAGCUAUUUACUAUCUAAAAUUUCGGAGGUAAACAACGAUGGUAGAUCUACUACGAGGAAUUUGUAAUUAAUUUCAGAAAAAAAUUAAAAGAAGCAUUAAAAGAUAAAAUAAAAUCUUCACUAAAAUUGUAAAUAAAAAUAUAAUAAGAGUCCAUGUAGAAUAUAUAUAAAUAUUUGAAAUUCGAAAUAAUAAAAUAAGUUUUAAAAGAAGAACAAAAAUACAACACAACACAAUACAAUUUUGAAAUCCCACAAAAUAAAUUUAUAAAAAAAUAAAAAAAAUGAAAUUAAAAUCACUCACUCACUAAAUUCAAAAUAAAAAAAAUAUAAUUUUAAAGAACUUUGCUAUUUUUAUUAAUUCACAUCCAUGCAUUAAUCAAUUAAAGAGAGGAAUAGCAAUAAAAGUUUCUCGAAGAGAUUUAAAAAAGAGUGACGAUGAACAUUCAGUUAAAAACGAAAAAUGCCUCAUUUAAUUUGGAUUUAUUUUUGUUAAGCCUAUUUACAAGAGAAAACAUUCAGUUAAAAAGGAAAAAUGCCUCAUUUAAUUUGGAUUUAUUUUGUUAAACCUAUUUACAAGACAAACUAAUAUGCAUGCCUACACGAAUACGAGGGCUACCCUAGUUCUUAAAUAGAAAUUAUUAGGUAUAGAAACUCUAUGCAUAAAAUUUUUAAACCAGAUUAGAAAAAUGUCAUAAAAAUAAAAAAAAGAGAAAAGAUAUUAGGCCGUUCCUUUACACUCUCUAGUCUAGGACCACAUAUGUGCAUGAUGGUAACAAAACGACAAAAUCUACAAAACGGGAAACGGAUCAAGUCUAGCAAAAACCAAUAAAAAAUGAGCAAUUCUAGCGUGAAGAGGUACCAUUGGUAACAUGAGAUACCAAAAUUUGAUACCUCAUAAAAUCUCGGUACCGAGGGGUAUCAAAUUUAUCUCUACUAUUAUAAAAAUUGAAAAUGUUUAUGCAGUCCGUCAUCUAUGUUUGAGUCGAUUAUAAAAAUUAAAGAUGUUUCUGUGAUUCGUCAUCCAUAUUUGAGUUGGUUUUAAUUUUAUGUUUUUGUUUUAGUCUAUAUCUCUUCUCUACUAUUAUAAAAAUUAAAAAUGUUUUUGCUGGUAUUUUGAUACGUCAUCCGUGUAUGAGUCGGUUUUUAAGUUCGUUUCCAUUUGGAAAUACAUAUUCGUAUUUGAGUCGGUAAUCUAUAUCUCUUCUCUAUCUCUACUACUAUAAAUAUAAAAAUUGAAGAUGCUUUUGCCGGUAUUUUGGUACGUCAUCCGUGUAUAAGUCAGUUUUUAAGUUCAUUUGCUUUUGGAAAUAUAUCUCCAUAUUUGAGUCGGUUUUUAAGAGCAUUCACUUUGAUAAUACAUAAGAAAUCAUAUAAGAAAUAUGUUUAAAAAAACUCGUAUGCUAAUUUGAGAUGAUCGGACUCUUAACUGUAGCUCAUGAUUUUCUAAAAAUAUAUCCCAAGCGAACUGCUACAGUAAAUCGCAUCUUAACUAAACCAUAUAAUAAUAAUAAACCAUAUAACAAUAAUAAGAUAAAAUAUACUUCACCAGUUACAAUGGAUAUUUUUUUCUAAACCAAAUAACAAUAAUAAGAUAAAAUAGGCUUCACCCGUUACAAUGGAUAUUUUUUCUAGUAAUAAAAAAUUUGGUACCUCCUCGUAACGGUAAAAUUACUCAUCAAAUAUAUAUUAAUAUAUUAAGAGGUAUCAAAUUUAUAAUAGAAAAAAUGGUACCUCCUUAUUAAAUAUAUAUCGAGAGAUAUCAAAUUUAUAAUAGAACAUCAAAUAUAUAUUAAUAUAUUAAGAGAUAUCAAAUUUAUAAUAGAAAAAAUGGUACCUCCUUAUUAAAUAUAUAUCGAGAGGUAUAAAAAAAGGAAAAAGUGGUACCUCCUUAGAAAAGGGUAAAAUUACUCAUCAAAUAUAGAAAGGGAUAGACCGAUCGUACCUGUGCUCAACGCGCGAUGCAAUAUCCUUUUAUGGUUAAACAUGCUUACCUGAAUUCAUGUCUUCAAUUUGAACAGAUUGAUUUUGUUUUAAAUGCAUAUGCAAGUUAUGAUUUUUUAGGAAAGAUAGCCGACCGGGGAAGACUCGAAACUUUGGAUGCUAUAAUAAACUAAUUUUGUACAUUCAUUCCACAGUGAGUGCCUUUUUUUAAGGUUACGGCGAGGACAAUUACGGAGUAUUUGCCCUUCUAUCGGGAUGACGCGCAAUCAUUUCGUUUUUUUUUUACUUAUUCGAGAACAAAAGUCCGGGGCCCUUCUUAUAAGGUAGUAACGAUCAAUCAUUUCUAAUACUCAAUAGGAUCACUUUCUUGUUCUGCAAUUUCCGGCCGUUGAUCUAUAGCAAUUUCUCGAGCCUAUGAUCCAGAUUGAUCAGAAUAAGGAAAAAAAUGAACAUUAUAACGAUCACCAAAACGUUGUGUACAUAUGCACGAUGAGAUAUACACCGUAUAAUGUACACACAGUAUAUAUUUAUACGUAUUUCAACAAAGCGGAAUUGUACACAUACGACGUACAUACACAGCGUACUUUCACAGUACAAACAACACGCAGACACGGUCCGUACUGGAGAACGCCAUCACACAUUCACACUCAUCACACGACAGUAACAUUUUUUUUUUCCUUUUAUUGCGCUCGGCUAGCUCAUCUUAUUAUUCAGGAAGGUGACGUGGCGGCCGUCGCCGGCGGCGCAGACACAUGGUGUGGUGGUGUGUCGAGCUCAGUGCUGGCCGGGCAGCUUCUCCUUGAUCUUGUCCAUGAUGCCCUUCUUCUCGCCGGUGUCGGUGGUGGUGGUGCCGUGUGCGCCGGUGGUGCCGGUGGUCAUCCCGGUGCCGUGGCCCUGCUGCCCGUAGGCGCCGCCGGUGCCGCCCAUGGCAUGCUGCUGCUCGCCCUUGUUGCCGCCGGGGAGCUUCUCCUUGAUCUUCUCCUUGAUCCCCUUCUUCCUCCUCCCUCCCAUUCCAUCAUCCUCAGACUGUCACAAAGACAUUAAAAUUUUUCAACGAAUUUGUACGCAAGGUUUUACUGGGGGGGUAAAGAAUUGGGGGCAAAAUGUUUGUACCGAGCUUGAGCUGGAGCUGCCGGAGCGUUGCAGGACGCCGCCGGUCUUGUGCUCCUCCCUCAUCGGCUGGAACUGGCCGCCGCCGGUGCCGGUGGUGCCGUGCGUCCCCAUGCCGCCGGUGGUGCCGUGCGUUCCCAUGCCGCCGGUGGUGCCGUGCGUCCCCAUGCCGGCGGUGCCCAUCUGGCCGUGUCCGGCGCCGGUGCCGACCGGGUUGCCGUACUCGUCGACGCGGCUGGUCACGUGGCCGUGCUGCCCCUGGUGCUCCAUCCUGCUUAAGCUAAAGCUGAAAAAAAACUCUCGGAGAUCGAGGUGUUCUUCUGAUCAGUGGCUAGCUCACUUAGCUCUUGCUGUGGUGUGCAAGCAGGUGAAGGUGGUGGCCGCCAUUUAUAAGCCGGAGGAGGCGAGGAGAUGAGCUCGAUUGCCACGGCAUGGGUGGAGGGAGACAGGGAGACGUGUGCGGGAGCCGGUGGACGGUGGCCAGCGCGGCGUGGAGAGGAGCCGGACGUGUCCAGGCGGCAGGCGCGGCGGUGGCGCCACGUACGGUGUCGGGCGAGGCGUUUCUCGAAGACACGGGUGGUGACUCAUCGGGGGGAGAGACGAUAACUAUGUGUGUGUACUGUGCGCGUGGAUGGACGGUUUGGAUGAGUGCUCGCCGUGGAUGGAGAUAGGAGAGGAUGCGUAGGAAAGUUUUUUUUUUCGAUGGAUUUUAUCCGUUCUCUUUUUUGUUGUGAAAUAUUUUUUUAAAAAAUAAAUGCUCAUGGGCCUGAACGCUGCGUUUCGCAGGCCACGGCCCACGGCCCAUCUCUGCGGUCUUUUAGAUGAAUAAGUUCACUUUGUAUACCUUUCAACUGGUGGUCAGUUUCACUUGGGGACUGCUAUGUAUCACACGUCCAAAUUGGUGUAAAUUGUUGGACGGUGCUGUCGAUAAAAAUUGUUUCAACGAAAAUAUUACGGAUGUUUCACGAACAGAUAAAAAUGUUCCAACCCUUAACCAAGAUUGUUUCAACGGAAUGUAAUAUUCUAACAUACUGAGUGCAACACCAAGAGAUCAAUGGAUUCAACAUUGAGUCAAAAUAGAAUGAAACACCUUUAUUGAUUAAUACAAUAAAGUACAACAAAAUUACAAAUAGGCUACAAUACCACUAAAAUUCUCUAACAAAACCUACCUCUGUCUUCUUCUAUUUCGGCCACGGGAAACAAACGACCAGUAUGGGAGAGAUAAGCAAGCUGAUUGUGUACAUGAGGACAAGGGCAAGCAGCGAUAUCAGUCGGGUGACCUUGCCAGGGCUAGUUGCGUCGGCAUCUGGUCUAACAUCUCCUUCUACACAUCACGCUCUUCAUGUCGGCAGCAGAGGUCCAACCCUCGUCCGGUCCUCCCUUUCACAUCAUCUUGCUUCAUGGUCACUAGCGUGGUCGCCGGCAUCCUCCCCCCUUUUUGUGUUGCGCUGCCCCGCUGUCAUCCGCGUGGCCAGUGACCUCCUCCGCCAACACCAGCAUGAUCGCCAACGUCCUCCUCCCUCUUUGCGUCACGUUGUCUCGUCGCCGUCCGCAUGGCCGCUGCCGACCUCCUCCCCUCUGUGUUUUGGUGAUUGCUGGCUACGGUGCUCCACCAGCUUUCUUCGACGGUGUCAUUGUGUUUCCUACAAAUGCAAAAAUAGUGAGGAGAAAUGAGAGAAUAAGAUCGUGGGAGGAGAAAUGAGUGGAUUAGAUUGUGGGAAGGAUAGGUUAAAUCGGUAGUGGGUCUUACCUUAUAUGACCGUUCGAUGUUUCUUCUUGUAUUGCACGCGGCGGGAGACGCUGGUGGCGAGUGAGGCAGUGGUGGAGCAGCCUCGUACAUGACGGUGGUGACAAGGGUCAUCCUCUCUACAGUGCAGUCAGCCCUUGUGGGUGCACUCAGUGUGUGGCUCACGUGAACCCCACCACGUGCCAAGUAAUGCGGCGUGCAUUCCUCCAUGACCACCGACUGACUCGAUCCCCGUCUGGCUCAAUCCAACACUCGAGCGAUCGCCAUGAACCCCCGUACGAUCGAGCAAAACACAACGAGAGAGGGUGAGUGAGGCGGAUAACGAUGGGUGCGCAAGUGCGCAGCCCUUGGAGGCGAUGAGCGAGUGGAGGAACUCCGCGUGAACCACUGGAACCGCUGUGGCUGGCCGCAGGGACAUCGACGCCAACGCCGGCGGGAGAGGCAUGCAGCGCAAGCGAGCACACUUGAGGGCAGACUAAUAUAUGAGCCCACGUUUUCAAUUCUUUUUACCGAUUGAUAUGCAGGUCCAUUUGAGUUUUCUAUGUUUUAGUUUUCUUCUAAUAUCACCUAAUUGUCAUGUAGACGUCACAAGGAAUGAACAUCAAGUCAAAUAGUCAACAUGACCACCAUACAAAACCACCAAUUUAGUAGUCCAGAGAUAUAUGCUAUAUCGGUUUAGUGUCUCGAGGAGAAGAUGAUGACAGAGCGACACCACCUGUAUUGGAAGGCGUUGGUUAUACCGACCAAUACAUGUAAUUUGUAAUUAUGGAAACUGAUAUGUGGAUCCCACAUGUAAUGGGUGAGAACGACCAUAUGUGAUCUCCUGGUUUACAUGCAGGGCCGGUCCUGACUUUUUAGGGUCCUGGUGGGAAACUAAAUUUAGAGACCCUUACCAUACUAUUAUCAAUAGUUACAUAUACUGAAUUAAUACUAUAAACAUUUAAAUUGCAUUCAGAAAUAAUAUUUAAAUAGACAAUAAUGCACAUGUUACCUUAAAAGUUUCUUCUGCGAUUCUAUCAUAUCAUCCACCCUUUUCUUUUUUUCCCUUUUCUCUCACUACCCGUUGCAUACUUUCUCGACGACAUGGCCUGAUAAUUCAAAAAAAAUAUAGUAGUUUAACUCAUAUAAAUUACAUAACAAAAUUACAAAUCAAAAUUACAAAUCAAAAUUUAAAAUCGUACCAAUUAGUUGAUCACAAGCGUCUAGAUGCACACCGCAAGUGAGUCAGAAAUACACACUAGUGUCUUCGUCAUGUCUAACUAUUGGAACAACUGAAUAAACCUAACAUACGACUAUACAUCAAUAAAUGCUUAUUUACAUAUUAAUAGAUAAAAAUCACAAUAGUAAAUUUCAAUUUUUUAUUUGACGAUCGGUUAACAGCCAAAGCUUGUAUAGCAAAUUCUUUAAUCUGACGACUAUACAUAACUGAACCAGACGAAGCUAAUCCAGCUGCUACCAUGUAAAUGCACAGGCACAUAGGAUCCUAGCUAAUAGUAAUACCUGAAUCAAGAUUCAAGAGGUGGCAGGCGGCAGCGGCUGCAUCCGCCAGGCGCUCACGGAGUCACAGCUGCACUGCACCUCGUACCCUACUGCCGUCGACCGUCGUACGGAGCAGCGGAAGAAAAAGGGGAAGCCGGCCACCGGCGCGCCGAUGCGUGGCCUUGCGCCAUUGCGCCGCGCGAUUUUGGUGCCGUGAGGAGGAAAAGAUUAGAAGAGCGGCGGCAAUCGCGGGAUCGCAUUUUGUUCGCCUUCCGCUUCCGGCUUCUGCGCACGGCGCGUCUGUUCGCCUUGAUGCUAGGCCUGGGUGGGGCGGGGGCGGGGGGAGGGGGGGUGGUGUUGGGUGAGGGCCCCUGCGAUUUGGGGGGCCAAAGCGGUCGUACCGCUCGACCCCCCUGGGCUGGCCCUGUUUAUAUGCUACUGGCUAGGUCAAAAUUUCCCAACAGCACAUAUCAUGCAUGCAUUAUGAUACACCAUAUCAAUGCGAUCUAGCUUCGGAACUCUUAACGUUACUUCUACUAAUGCCAAGAGGAGUCCAUUUCACACGAUUUGGUCGAAUAUUCAAAACAUCAAUUAUUAUGCUAUAACAUUAUAAUUAAUAGUAUUCUUUGGAACAUAUAUAUCCAUACCGUAUCUUUUUUACUAGACGUUUGCAAAAUUAUUGAUGGUCUAGAAGACUUUAGCCAAAUGUUAUCACAACCAUCAAAUAUUUGAAGACUUUAGCCAAAUGUUAUCACAACCAUCAAAUAUUUCCAACCGGACGAUGUAAACCCACAUAUCUCAGCAGCUCACCGACCAAAGCAGCCGAGCCAAGCUGUCAAGUUGUGUACUGUUGAUCACGAGGGCCUCUCUUGUCUCCUGCAAGCACCAAACAUAAGGCAAAACAAAACUAGUCAACUAGCCGUACAACAUGAUUGGGAUGAUGGCAAACAUUGCGCUACGCACCCUGAACACCCUCUCGUACGUAGCAACGCAAGCUUCCAUGAACUCAGUGACCAGCACUCCCUCUGUCUAAAAAAACGAAUCUAAAAUUAUAUAUGACACGUUCUGAUACAAUAAAUCUAGACAUAUAUAUAUCCAUUUUAUAGUACUAAAAUACGUCACAUCCAAUAUUAUAUUGGCUUUUACAGGACGGAGGAAGUAAAUGAUAAGCAUGUACAUACCAUAGCAAUACUGUUGGCCACCCUCUUCCCACCAACCGCUGCCCAUCAUCGCAUAAAUAACCAAGAAUCUAGACAUCUAGUCUGCACCAGAAUGACCGGUUUGAUAUCCAUCAAUGGCGCCGGAGCGGCAGAUUGGCCGCUUCCGCGUUGCCAUCCGCUUUGUCUUCGGCGUGGCGGUGGCGGUGGUGGUGGCAAUGGCGGCCGUGCUCACGGCCGGCAGCAUGGCCGCGGCGGCGCCGAACGGCCUCACCUACAAAGGCUUCAUUCCGAAUCAGCCCGUGUGCGCUCGGUCGUGCGUGCCAGGGAGGUCCAACUUGCCGCAGAGGGGUUGCUUGAAGAUCUACCGAUGCCGGUAGUACUAUAGUACUAAUGUAGCAACGUUUCGUGAGCGUUUAUGCAGAUUUUUGCAUUCUAGUGUGUGUUACUGAAUCGUCUGAACUCUGAAGCCAAAUCUAUGUAUAGGUGCGUGCUCAGCGUGUGAUGAUUCAGGGUUCGUCUUGUACUCGAAUUGAAUAGCUCCAUAUUUUACUUCGUUCGGAUUAUAUUGGCCUACAGGGGCGGAUCUACAGUAUAGUCAUCGGUGUCAGGCGACACCGAUGACUUUCGGUAAAACCUAUAGCAAAACUACUUAUUCAUAUAUUAUAGCAUCAUAUUCUAAGCAUAAUUAGCAUACUAUGACACCGAUAGACACGUUAUGACACCAAUGAAUCGAUUUUCUGGAUCUGCUACUGUUGGCCUAUAUAUCUAGCUUGUGGUCUCUACAAAUGUGCAUGUUGCUUUGCUUAUGCAAUUAUACAGUACGUAUUUGUAUACGUUACAGUGUACAAUAUAUUUGUACAAUCUCAAAUUUAAUUAUUUUUGUACUUAGCAAUAUGUAAUGCAAUUGCUCAGGCCUAUUCGUUGGUUCACACUAAGUUAAUAAACAUUCAGAAAAAUCCAUAAAACUCCUUAGGCCUUGUUCGGUUAAUACCAUCCAAAAGAUGAUUGAGAAGGAUUUAGAGAGAAAUGAUUUUAUACCUAUUUAGGCAUGAAAAUAAUCCUCUCUAAUCCCUCUCUCACGGGGAUUAGCCGAACAUGGUUUAGAGAUUUUUUUUAUGGAAAGGAACUUAGCAUUACGAAAAUACAGAAAAAAAUAUUGCUGAUCAGGUCCUUCUCGUAUCAUUUUUUUUCUCUUUGGGGUUAUGAUAUUAUUAGAACCAGGAUACGUUAUGAAUGAACAAUAUAAUAUAUGAUGUUCCCUUGUAACGAACAGCACAAAAAUUAAAUGUGAAACUAUGAUAAUUAGGUACUCUUAUUGUUUUUUUUCCGGGAAAUUAGGUACUCUUAUUGGAUCAAUUAAGCUUGUAUUGUGUCGUCCAUAUAAUCUCAAAAUGUAUUUUUCGAAUCCUCAAACUUAUUAUUCUGAAUAUUAUACAGGUUCAAACAGGCCCCAACUCGCUUUGUGCGUGGACGUAGCGUACCAUGGUGGCACCUACUAUGUAUUGUAGUAAGUGUAACAUGCCAUGACACACCGUACAACUUUAGAGACUGUGUACUUCACCUUUUUUUUAAGAAAGUUAAAAUGUGCAUUCAUUUAUAGACAAAAGACUCUCACUAUUAUAGAAAACGCAUGACCGAUGCGGCGCUGAUGAACCCUGGUUAUUGGUGCCAGUUUCACAAAUGACACCUUUGAGGUGCACACGAGCUUAAAAAAAUCGGCUCGGUGCAUUCAAGCUGAUACAUCAAGGUUGCAUAUCCUUGAAAUACCCCGGAUCCCAAAUGAUGCCUCAAAUCACCCAAAAUAAUGCCCCAAAUCCAUGAACACAUUAACUACAAUCAAUAAACUCCAAACAAACAACACAUCCAGAUCCUCAAGAUGAAGACCCUAGAUAACAUGAAUAAACAUCAAUAAUCACAAGAAUUGAAUGAGGGAGGGGAAGAUGCGCAUCCGCCAGCCGCUGAUGGUGUCGCAGCUCCAACCCGCCAACACCAUCAUACCUCCCAAACCAUCACCAUGAAGGUCGGAGUCAUCUAGAUCUGGUGGCCCUCGACCUCCAGGCUGCUAGAUCCGGCGGUCUCCCACCACCACGCCGGUAGCUGUAGCCACCUCCUCCGUCAUCGCACCUCCCUUCUUCUGCUGAGACACCAUCUUCGCCAGCCACUGCCGCAUCUAGCAGGUGGAAGGAAUGUUUAGAGAGGGGGGCUUCCGUUGAAUAAAAGGUGGCUGAGGAGCGAGCGCUGUUGAGGGUCGAGCACCGAUGCGCGAGCUAGAGAGAGAGACACACACACACAUACAGAUAGAGAGUAGAAGAAGUCUCGAGAGGGAGGAGGAGGAGGAGGAGGAGGAGGAGAUAAGGAUGAGCCCAAUGAGUAGCUUGGCUUGGUCUGUUCAUCUAUAUAUGUUUU
rnacentral:lncRNA from 1 species